rnacentral:rRNA from 1 species
GACGAACCGUGCGAACGUUGUUCGGAAUCACUGGGCUUAAAGGGCGCGUAGGCGGGCUGGCAAGUCAGGGGUGAAAGCCCACGGCUCAACCGUGGAAGUGCCUCUGAUACUGCCGGCCUGGAGGGAGGUAGGGGCGUGCGGAACUUCCGGUGGAGCGGUGAAAUGCGUAGAUAUCGGAAGGAACACCUGCGGCGAAGGCGGGUUGCUGGGCCGACACUGACGCUGAGGCGCGAAAGCCAGGGGAGCGAACGGG